rnacentral:rRNA from 1 species
GGGGGAAAAUUAAUAAAAUAAAAUUAAUAAAAUAAAUUUUUAAGUUAAAAAUAAAUAAUGGGGGUUAAAGUAUUUUUAAUAGAAAAAAUUUAAAAUUUUAUAGGGUAAUAAGUAUUGUAAGAGAAAUUUGAAAUAGUUAAAAAAUUAAUUAAUAGGAAAGAAAAUUUAAUUUAUUGUAUCUUGUGUAUCAGAGUUUAUUAAAUAAAUUUUUUAAAUAAAAAAAUCUCGAAUUUAAAAGAAUUAAUUAAUUAUAAAAGUUAAUGUAACAUAAUUAUUUUAAAUAAUUAAUUGGAAAUGAAAUGUUAAUCGUUUUUAAAUAUAUCUAGUUAUUUUAGAAAAAAAUUUAAUUUUAAAUUUAAAUAAUUUUAUAAUUUAAUAUUAAAUUAUAAAAAUUUAAAUUUAAUAUUUUAAGGGAUAAGCUUUAAAUUAAAAAUUUAUAAUAAUAAUUAAAAAUUAUUUAAGAUUUUUAAAAUUUAUAUUGUUUAAAAAUUAUAAUUUAUUAUAAAAAAUUUUAAUAAAAAUAAAAUUUAAUAGGGGGAAAUUUAAAUUUUUAUAAAAUAAUAAUUUUUAAUAAUAAAAAAUUAGGAAUAAUGAUAAAAUUAGUAUAAAUAAUAAAAAAAAAAUUAAAUUAUUAAUUAAAAUUAAUUAAAAGGAAUUCGGCAAUAAGGAAUAUUCACUUGUUUAUCAAAAACAUGUCUUUUUGAUUAUAAUUUAAAGUCUAAUCUGCCCACUGAUAAAUAUUAAAGGGCUGCAGUAUAUUGACUGUACAAAGGUAGCAUAAUCAUUAGUUUUUUAAUUGAAAACUUGUAUGAAAGAUUUGAUGAAAUAUAAACUGUCUCUUAAUUAUUAUUGUUAAAAAUUUAUUUUUUAGUUAAAAAGCUAAAAUAAUUUUAAAAGACGAGAAGACCCUAUAGAGUUUUAUAUUUUAUUUUAUAUUAAAAUUAUAUAAAAAUUAAAAUUAAUAUUAAAUAAAAUAUUGUAUUGGGGUGAUAGAAAAAUUAAAAUAACUUUUUUUAAAAAUUAACCAUUAAUAAAUGAAUAAAUGAUCCAUUUUUAAUGAUUAAAAGAAAAAAUUACCUUAGGGAUAACAGCGUAAUAUUUUUUUUUAGUUCAAAUAAGAAAAAAAGUUUGCGACCUCGAUGUUGGAUUAAGAUAAAAUUUAAAUGCAAAUGUUUAAAAUUUUGAUCUGUUCGAUCAUUAAAAUCUUACAUGAUCUGAGUUCAAACCGGUGUAAGCCAGGUUGGUUUCUAUCUUUAGAAAAAGAGAAUAUUUUAGUACGAGAGGAUCAAAUAUUUGAAAUAAUUUUAUAAAAGGAAUAUUAUUAAUUGAAAAUAUAAAUGG